UACGUAGGGUGCAAGCGUUAAUCGGAAUUACUGGGCGUAAAGCGUGCGCAGGCGGUUAUGUAAGACAGGUGUGAAAUCCCCGGGCUAACCUGGGAACUGCAUUUGUGACUGCAUAGCUAGAGUACGGGUAGAGGGGGAUGGAAUUCCGCGUGUAGCAGUGAAAUGCGUAGAUAUGACGGAGGAACACCGAUGGCGAAGGCAAUCCCGUGGACCU
rnacentral:rRNA from 1 species